rnacentral:rRNA from 1 species
UGAGUAACCUGCCCUUAACUCUGGGAUAAGCCUGGGAAACUGGGUCUAAUACCGGAUAUGACUCCUCAUCGCAUGGUGGGGGGUGGAAAGCUUUAUUGUGGUUUUGGAUGGACUCGCGGCCUAUCAGCUUGCUGGUGAGGUAAUGGCUCACCAAGGCGACGACGGGUAGCCGGCCUGAGAGGGUGACCGGCCACACUGGGACUGAGACACGGCCCAGACUCCGUACGGGGAGGCAG